CUGACUGCUAUCGGAUUGGUACUAAGCCAUGUGAGUCAUUGUAGCAAUACAAGGCAUACGGCUCAGUAACACGUAGUCAAUCUGCCCUAUGGACGUGGAUAACCUCGGGAAACUGAGAAUAAUCCGCGAUAGAUCAUAAUGCCUGGAACGGUUUAUGGUCCAAAUGAUUCGUCGCCAUAGGAUGGGACUGCGGCCUAUCAGCUUGUUGGUGAGGUAAUGGCCCACCAAGGCUAUUACAGGUACGGGCUCUGAGAGGAGAAGCCCGGAGAUGGGUACUGAGACACGGACCCAGGCCCUAUGGGGCGCAGCAGGCGAGAAACCUUUGCAAUGUGCGCAAGCACGACAAGGUUAAUCCGAGUGUUUCCUGCUAAAGGAAUCUUUUGUUAGUUCUAAAACCACUGAUGAAUAAGGGGUGGGCAAGUUCUGGUGUCAGCCGCCGCGGUAAAACCAGCACCUCAAGUGGUCAGGAGGAUUAUUGGGCCUAAAGCAUCCGUAGCCGGUUCUGUAAGUUUCCGGUUAAAUCCACUAGCUCAACUAAUGGGCUGCCGGAAAUACUGCAGAACUAGGGAGUGGGAGAGGUAGACGGUACUCGGGAGGAAGGGGUAAAAUCCUUUGAUCUCUUGAUGACCACCUGUGGCGAAGGCGGUCUACCAGAACACGUUCGACGGUGAGGGAUGAAAGCUGGGGGAGCAAACCGGAUUAGAUACCCGGGUAGUCCCAGCUGUAAACGAUGCAGACUCGGUGAUGCACUGGCUUUUGGCCAGUGCAGUGCCGCAGGGAAGCCGUUAAGUUUGCCGCCUGGGAAGUACGUACGCAAGUAUGAAACUUAAAGGAAUUGGCGGGGGAGCACCACAAGGGGUGAAGCCUGCGGUUCAAUUGGAUCAACGCCGGAAA
rnacentral:rRNA from 1 species